rnacentral:rRNA from 1 species
AGUGAACGCUGGCGGUAGGCCUAACACAUGCAAGUCGAACGGCAGCACAGUAAGAGCUUGCUCUUACGGGUGGCGAGUGGCGGACGGGUGAGGAAUACAUCGGAAUCUACUUUUUCGUGGGGGAUAACGUAGGGAAACUUACGCUAAUACCGCAUACGACCUACGGGUGAAAGCAGGGGAUCUUCGGACCUUGCGCGAGUGAAUGAGCCGAUGUCGGAUUAGCUAGGUGGCGGGGUAAAGGCCCACCAAGGCGACGAUCCGUAGCUGGUCUGAGAGGAUGAUCAGCCACACUGGAACUGAGACACGGUCCAGACUCCUACGGGAGGCAGCAGUGGGGAAUAUUGGACAAUGGGCGCAAGCCUGAUCCAGCCAUACCGCGUGGGUGAAGAAGGCCUUCGGGUUGUAAAGCCCUUUUGUUGGGAAAGAAAAGCAGCAGGUUAAUACCCCGCUGUUCUGACGGUACCCAAAGAAUAAGCACCGGCUAACUUCGUG